CCCGAAUCGUCGCGGAUCCGGUUCGCUAUUUCUAUAACUGUUUGCGGAAGAUAUAAACAUAGAUUGUUUAUACAUUAAACUUUAUACACAUUUUCCAAAAUCGAGUAACCUUAACUAAUACACAAUCGUGACUGUCUAACACAUGACAAUACUAUUCUUCAACAUACUUUACAACUUAACUUCACAUUCUAUCCCAAGCUGAACUUGGCAUUAUCCUUUUCCUGUAACUGGCCGUAUUCGCCUUAUCUGCAAUGUUUUAUCAUGAUAUAGCAAGGGUGAGCAUGAAAGUUGCCCAACAAGUGUAAAAACAAGGUAAAGAUAUAUCAUGAAAGAGUUUGAAUAAUAAGCUGGCUAUCCUUCACAAUGUAUUCGUGAAUUAGCAUGAACAAAAUUUUGACUGAACAAGUAUUGAACAGGAACAAUAAUAUAUCUGGACCAACUGGUAAUGAAGGUGAUCAGCCUUUCAUACCCGACUUAUAUAUAAAAGAUGUACAGAGUACAAUUCAUAAGCAUAUAUGUCUGAAACCACUCUUAAAGAGUUUAAAUAAAAAUAACUUGAAAAACUUGCAUGAACCAUUGAUUACCGUAACACAAUAUAAUAAGCUUCUCCUGAAGACCUAAUAUUAAUAAUAUAGAUCUCCAAUAUUAGAAUAAUAUCAUCAUUGUUAUAAAAUAACUUAAACAUAUUUCCACAUACUCCUAUCAGUCUAUACAGCAUAUAAAACCUAUAAUAGAUCUUUC
rnacentral:lncRNA from 1 species